UGCCCGGAUGGCGAAAUUGGUAGACGCGCUGGUUUCAGGGACCAGUGACCGAAAGGUUGUGCAGGUUCGAGUCCUGUUCCGGGCACCCA
rnacentral:tRNA from 1 species